UACGUAGGGUGCAAGCGUUGUCCGGAAUUAUUGGGCGUAAAGAGCUCGUAGGCGGUUUGUCGCGUCUGCUGUGAAAACUCAGGGCUUAACUCUGAGCUUGCAGUGGGUACGGGCAGACUAGAGUGCGGUAGGGGAGACUGGAAUUCCUGGUGUAGCGGUGAAAUGCGCAGAUAUCAGGAGGAACACCGGUGGCGAAGGCGGGUCUCUGGGCCGGAACUGACGCUAAGGAGCGAAAGCGUGGGGAGCGAACAGG
rnacentral:rRNA from 1 species